rnacentral:rRNA from 1 species
UUUUGAGUAGUAUAUGAUUAGACCAGGAAACUUAAAGAAUUUGGCGGUAUAUAUUCUGAUUAGAGGAAUAUGUUUUUUAAUUGAUACUCCACAAAUAUCUUACUUAAAUUUAUUUAUUUUGUAUAUCUCCGUCUUAAAAAGAUUUUUUAAAAUAUUUUUUAUAUUUUAUAAUUUAAAAUAAGUCAGGUCAAGGUGCAGAUUAUAUUUAAGAUAAAAUGUAUUACAAUAAAUUUAUUUUCGGAUUAAAGAUUAAAUUGGUCUUAUAAAGUUGGAUUUAUAAGUAAGUUUUUUUAUAUAAAAAUUAAUUGAAUUAUGUUAAUAUAUAUGUACACAUC